GGGGAAUUUUCCGCAAUGGGCGAAAGCCUGACGGAGCAAUACCGCGUGAGGGAGGAAGGCUCUUGGGUCGUAAACCUCUUUUCUCUGGGAAGAUAAUGACGGUACCAGAGGAAUAAGCAUCGGCUAACUCCGUGCCAGCAGCCGCGGUAAUACGGAGGAUGCAAGCGUUAUCCGGAAUGAUUGGGCGUAAAGAGUCCGUAGGUGGUUAUUCAAGUCUGUGGUUAAAGAGUGGAGCUUAACUCCAUAAAGGCCAUGGAAACUGAGUGACUAGAGUAAGGUAGGGGUAGAGGGAAUUCUCGGUGUAGCGGUGAAAUGCGUAGAUAUCGGGAAGAACACCGGUGGCGAAAGCGCUCUACUGGACCUAAACUGACACUGAGGGACGAAAGCUAGGGGAGCGAAAGGGAUUAGAUACCCCUGUAGUCCUAGCCGUAAACGAUGGAUACUAGGUGUUUCGGGUAUCGACCCCUGAAGUGCCGAAGCUAACGCGUUAAGUAUCCCGCCUGGGGAGUACGCACGCAAGUGUGAAACUCAAAGGAAUUGACGGGGGCCCGCACAAGCGGUGGAGUAUGUGGUUUAAUUCGAUGCAACGCGAAGAACCUUACCAAGGCUUGACAUCCUACGAAUCUUAGCGAAAGUUGAGAGUGCCUUCGGGAGCGUAGAGACAGGUGGUGCAUGGCUGUCGUCAGCUCGUGUCGUGAGAUGUUGGGUUAAGUCCCGCAACGAGCGCAACCCUCGUCCUUAGUUGCCAGCAUUAAGUUGGGCACUUUAGGGAGACUGCCGGUGACAAACCGGAGGAAGGUGGGGAUGACGUCAAGUCAGCAUGCCCCUUAUGUCUUGGGCUACACACGUACUACAAUGCUACGGACAAAGGGCAGCCAACUAGCGAUAGUGAGCUAAUCCCAUAAACCGUGGCACAGUUCAGAUUGCAGCUGCAACUCGCCUGCAUGAAGGAGGAAUCGCUAGUAAUCGCCGGUCAGCAUACGGCGGUGAAUCCGUUCCCGGGCCUUGUACACACCGCCCGUCACACCAUGGGAGUUGGUCACGCCCGAAGUCGUUACCCUAACCGAAAGGAGGGGGACGCCGAAGGUAGGGCUGAUGACUGGGGUGAAGUCGUAACAAGGUAGCCGUACCGGAAGGUGUGGCUGGAUCACCUCCUUAAAGGGAGACCUCACAACCAAUGUACUGAAACAAAAAGGAAUAAGUAGAUUGGAAGUCAUCCCAAGGUCGAACGAGUAGAAGCGAAAGCUAAUAAAAGGUGAAGUUAAGUAGGUUUUCAGACUAUGUUCUAGAUUCUAGUUCUAAGAAUUGAAAAAGGACUAAGAAGUAAGGGCUAUUAGCUCAGUUGGUUAGAGCGCACCCCUGAUAAGGGUGAGGUCUCUGGUUCGAGUCCGGAAUAGCCCACUGGAAAGGAGGGGGUUUAGCUCAGUUGGUAGAGCGCCUGCUUUGCAAGCAGGAUGUCAGCGGUUCGAGUCCGCUAACCUCCAUCUGUGGAACGCGAGAGCGUGGGAGCAGAAAGAGAAGAGAAUUCAGCAACUGUUGAAGACAGCCUGCUGAAGGUAAAACUUCAGUAAAGAACCUUGAAAACUGCAUAUAUAACAAAAUAAAGUCAGGUAGUAACUUCAGAAGUGGAGGAAGCCAGAAGUAUGAAAGUACGGAAUGGGGACUAAAGCGGAAAGAAGACAAUCCAAAACAAUCCUAAUAGAUAGACCAAAGAAAGUGGUCAAGCUACAAAGGGCUCAUGGUGGAUACCUAGGCACACAGAGGCGAAG
rnacentral:sRNA from 1 species